GCUGGGUGUGGUGGUGCACACCCAUAAUCCCAGCAGCUCGGGAGGCUGAGGCAGGAGGAUUCCAAGUUCAAGGCCAGCAUCAGCAACUCAGAGGGAGACCCUGUCUCUA
rnacentral:sRNA from 1 species